rfam:Salmo salar isolate Sally breed double haploid chromosome ssa14, whole genome shotgun sequence.
UGCACUAACCACUGUAAGUCGCUCUGGAUAAGAGCGUCAUGCUAAAUGACUCAAA